GUUUCAGGUUUUUUUUUUUUCCCUCACUUUCCGGGGACAAAGUUUGUGGCAUAGGCCCAAGCAUUGUUGUUCACUGGGUCAGCAAGGUGAUCAGCAAGGUUUUCUAAGGGUCCCUUUCCUGUCACAAUUGCCUGAACAAAGAAUCCAAACAUGGAGAACAUGGCCAACCUACCAUUCUUGAGCUCCUUCACCUUCAGCUCAGCAAAAGCCUCUGGGUCAUCAGCAAGACCCAAUGGGUCAAAGCUGCCACCUGGAUAGAUUGGAUCAGUCACCUCACCAAGAGGCCCACCAGCAAUACGGUAACCCUCAACUGCACCCAUCAAGAUAACUUGGGUGGCCCAGAUGGCAAGAAUGCUUUGUGCAUGGAUCAGGCUUGGGUUGCCCAAGUAGUCAAGCCCGCCCUCACUGAAUAUCUGAGACCCGGCCUUGAACCACACGGCCUCACCAAACUUGACUCCGUUGCGGGACAAGAGUUCAGGGAAAACACAGCCCAAGGCUCCCAACAUGGCCCAUCUGGAGUGGAUGACUUCCAGUUCACGGUUUUUGGCAAAGGUCUCUGGGUCAGCAGAAAGCCCAGCAGUGUCCCAACCAUAGUCACCUGGGAAUUCACCAGUGAGGUAGGAUGGGGGCUCACCAGAGAAUGGGCCCAAGUACUUGACACGAUCUGGGCCGUACCAUGGGCUUCCUGAGGUAACAGUCUUGGAGGCUGUUUUUCUCAUGCUAACCCUUCCAACACCAAGCUGAGGGGUGGAGGGGGCAAGCUUGAUAGCUUGGCCAGCCAAUGAUGAUGAAGAGAGAGCCAUUGUUGAAGCAGCCAUUGUAGUGUUGUAUAUUGUAAAACAAUGAAAUGCUUUGUAACUGAAAAGUGCAGAGAAUGGUUAGCAAUGUUGCUUGUAGUUGGGGUAAUAGACGAGCACUAUAUAUAGCUUUCAAAUAGAAAAUGGGUUCUUAUCUUAAUAUCUUAUGAGAUCUAUAUUUUUAUUCCUAUUGGUUUGGAUUUAGAGCAUUGUUUAUGUCCACAUGCUUCUUAGUACUUUUCGAUAUCUUUUGGAUUGGUUGUUUUGCUUCUCUUACCAGCAUGGAUCAGAUAUCUACAAACAUAUCAUUAAAUGCCUCUUAGACAAUGCCAUGUAGGAUUUCUGGAUAUGUUGUAUGAAAUAAAUUAAUAGAUGUAUAAAGUGGGGGACACCUUGGGAAAAUUGAGUUUUACCGAAGAGGGACCAUAGUACAUUACUGCAUUGGUCCUAUUGGUAGUUGACAUAAAUUGGUAAGCAUCUCAAAUGACAGUUUCAUAUCCACAUUUUUUAGGCCUUUCUAUAUAAACUAAAAGAAAACAAAAGAAAAUUGUUUUAAUUAAGAGUUCUAUUGAUGGUUUAAUACAUGCGCAAUCUAUAGCCUUAAUUCAUGGCCUGUUUGAAAUUCCAGAGGAGGUGAUGUUGUUGUUAUUAAUAAUUUCUGUCUAUGUGUUUUAGAUUUACUUUUUAGAAGCAUAAGAAAUGGGAAUAUAAUAUCUCUGUCGCAUGUAGUGAAUAAAAAUAUCUGUAGUCUAUGGUAUCUUAAAAUCAAUGGUACCUUGAUAACAAUGCAAAGUAGACACACACUUACAGUAUCGGCAUUCAUUCAAUUUCUGUAUCUAAAUGAUUUUUUUUUUACUAUUUACAUACACUUUCAAAAAUUGCUCUAUGUACCCUUUAAAAAUACAGAAAGUAGAAACCUUUUGUUUGUACCGUGUCUGUAUCUAAAUGAAAGCAGAAACAUUGCUCUGUUUACACUUUCAAACAAUAUUUUUGGACGGCCAAAAUAUUAUUUAAUAUCUAGUGAGAGAGAUAAAAGAAAAAAAAAUAUAUGUAUAAUAAGUGAUAUGAUGUAAUAGAAAAAAAAUAAAAGAUAAAGAAAUAAAAAGAUGUUGAAUAGGUAUUUGAAAGAUUGGAGUAUUCAAGAAACCACUACUCUUAGACUUUUUAUUGUUUGUGAAAACUGAAAAGCACUUGCUAUAAGUACUUAUCACGUGAUUUGCGGAGCAUGGACUCCAUAGGCAACCAUAAUUUUAAAACCUUACUUAUCAUUAAAGCAUAUACUUGUUGGAUACAUAUUCAAGUUUCUAUACCUAUAUUUAAGUAAAUACUAAAAGUGCUGCAUUUUGGUCAAUCAGCCAAAGAAAUGCCUUGGAAGGUUUUUUCAUUGGUGAAAUAAAGGGACAAAACACUCCAAGGAAGCACUAAAAUUUGUUAAUACUGCAAUGUAAAGCAUCUAAGACACCCAAAUGCCAAAUGGAACAAAGCUGAAGAUGAUGAAAUGAAAGCUUUAACACGAAACUCCACAAUUGUGAUGGCUUGUGACUUUUGAGUGGAGCAUUCGUCUUGUGGAUAUCCUUUGCAGUUUGAAUAGUCUCACGAAGAGUAAAUUGAAAAGAAAAACAUAAACGUCAUUUUGGUGAAAAAAAAGAGAAAAAUAUAAAUAUAGAAGUGAUGUUUAUUUUUUUUAAAGCCAAAUAAAAUUUUAUUGCAUUAUAAAAACAAAAGGUGUGUGAAGCAGGAUAAAACCGAAAGGUUUACAAACUUCUAUGCUGCAGGAUAUUAAUUACCUGCACCUGUGUUAACAAAAUAAAUAGCCCUCCACCCUACUACUACUAUAUGUCAUUUGACCACACAAAACUAUUUACAUCCCACACAAUACACACUGUCAAUUAUCAUGAAACCAACCAGCAAAAAACUAAAGAGCUAGACUUGCGUGCCUAUCCUUGCUUAACCCAAUUCACCAUUUUAAAAAUACACCAGCACGCCUAUUGUGUGACAAAGUUGGUUAUUUCCUGUAGUACUGUGGUACAGCACAGAAAUUCUGCUACAGACACAAAAAUUCUACUUGUUGGUUAUUUCUCAUUCAACACAACAAUGUCAUUCUCAUUCUCAAGAAGGUUAAGCUCUUCUCUCUCUUUUCAUUCCCAACUUUCCUCCUUUUCUUCCAAACCCCACUUUCCCUCUUUGCUUUCACUCUCAGCCUCCAUCCAUGGAUAAUGUUGUUGAUGAUGCUGUUUCCAGUUCAAUGACAUGCUCCUUGUGCGUCAUACCCUGCCCAUCUUCCAAUUUAACAAGAUUUUAGGACCCCUUGUGAAGAUGAAGCCCAUUUCCCUUUCUAAACAAAUGGAAGUCAAAGGAAUUGAGCCAGAUCUUGUUACUUUAAACAUCCUCCUCAAUUGUUUCUCCCACUUGGAACAAAUGGCCUUUUCUUUUUCUGUAUUGGACAAAAUUCUAAAAUUAAGUGAUCAACCGAUACCAUAACCUUGAAUACACUCAUGAAAGGUCUGUGUCUCAAGGGUGAGGUCAAGAAAUAACUGAACUUUUUAUGACUACCUCAGCUGCUUGACCUCUCGGGUGCAUCUCCUUCUCCAUAAGAUCUAAAGCAUAAGUAAGUCUCCCUGAUUUACACAAAUCAUCAAUAAGAGAAUUAUACGUCACUGCAUUAGGAACCAUAUUUUUAUGCAGCAUUUCUCUUAGGAGAUUCAUGGCCUCAUCCACCCUUUUACUCUUAAAUAAUCCAUGAAUCAUUAUACUGUAGCUGUAAACAUCAGGAUUUACUCCUGUUUAGACCAUAGCGUUGAAUAUCUGUUUUGCAUUCUGCACUUCACCAACUAAACAAUACCACUCCAUUAAAUCAAGAUAGUAUAGGUAUAAACAUUCGGGUUGAUGUUCUUAAAUAUCAUUUCAUUUAAUAAACCAAACUUCCAUUAACUGACCCGCAAGACAAAAGUCACACUUUAGAGUAUUGUAAGUGAUAAAAUUAUUGAUAUUUUAUUCAAAAUAAUCUUACGAUAAUAAAUAAUUAAAAUUAUAAAAAUUUUGUAUCUCAUUAUCAUAAUCUUUAUCUGUAUAAUGAUAACAAAUUGUUAAUUUAAAAAUUAAGAAAUUUACCUAAUUAAUAAUUUCAUAAAAUGAUGAAUAUAAUAAUAAAAACAACAAUAUUUUAUUAAAAUUAAAAUUGACCGCAUAUAAUAGACGGAAUCUUGCACUGAUACAUUUAUUUGUAACUAGUGAUACACCUUUAUUCAAAUUGCGUUGAUUAAACUUGGACAUUAAUUUUAAAAUAUUUGAAAAUUAAUUAAAUAUUAAUUUUCUUUUCAUUUAAUAGUAACAACAACAAACAUAUAUAUCUAGGGUCAUAUUUAACAUGACAACUAUUUUUUUCUCAAUGUAGGCCAUCAAACUUUAUUUAAUAAGCAUUUGAAUGGCAUGGAUUCUUCGAAUCUAUCUAAAAUGUUCCCAACGCAUCAGUAGAUAUUUUGAUAAUCUGACUCUGAUUGUGAACUUUAUUUAGGUUUCAAUAUGCAAACUCCUCACCAUUAAAUGGAAGCUGGGUUGGAUUCCCAUUCCUUUGCAACAAGACUUCUGAGCUUAUUUGUUAGUAUCUCAAAAUCAUCUUUGCUCUUAAUAAUACUGAGACGCACGUAACGUUCAUCUGCACUAAAGAUACUUCCUUCACGGCCAAUCGUGCGAGCAGCUUUUAGGGUUUCAUAGCAAUUCAUGUCUUGUUGUCUCUCACACUUUAACCUAGCGUAAGCUGUGAAACCAAAUUGUUAUGUAAACAAGGAGAAAACUUCAUAUAUUUACUCAACUUUUUAUUGGGCUGGUGAAGUUAGACAGCAAUUAAUUAAUUCUUCAUAAAAUUGAUGAAAUAAAUGGCGUAAGACACAAUCAAAAUUAAAAUGGUUAAGAACAAAUGUAGUAUUUAUAAACAUAAUUAAAAAAUGAUAAAACCUAAAAAUGUGAUCAGAAAUUGACAUUUACCUGGUGAAGGAUCUCUGACGCUCUUGAAAAAGGUACAGUACUGGGGAGACAAUUUCUGUAGAGAAAACCGUUUCGAUUUAUAUAUGAUUUGUUUCAACCUUAUCCAAUGAUCAUUCAUUGUUGAAUAUGUAAAUUGGAAUAUUUCUUUUCCAUCUCCUUCAGUAGCCAUGUCCAAAAGCUUUAAAACUCUCAGCUGAACGUCACGGGAAACUCCAAUGGUGCUCAAUCUCAAAUAUAUCAUCAUCUUUUGAUAUACUGCCUCAUCCUUUAUUAUUGCCAAUCUGUUAGAAAAUCACAAUAUAUAACACUUAUGUGUUACUUAUCCGUUGAUAAAAAUAGAGUUUAAUUUUCAUCUGAAAGUGUUACACUCACUUCAUAUUAUUAACAAUAUUUAUCUGAAAGAAAAUUAAUUCAUGAUUCUAAGUAAAUGUUGACUUUAAUUUUGAUCUGAAAGUUUUACACUGUGGCCGAAUUCAAAUUAAAUGCAGAACAUUUUUUAUCCUUAAAUUUCAUAUAUUUAUGAAGAUAAGAUCGAUCUAAAGCCAACAAAUUCUUGACCAUACAGAGGGAACCUCAGCUCCAAUAUAAGUGAUUCAGGCUCUCUAACAACUUGUAAAAGUUCUCAAAUUCUCAGGUAAUCUUUAAAGUUAUAACUGUAAUUUUAUGCCAAUCUAUAUAUUCCAUAAUGAAUAAUCAUAAAAAAUAUCAAACUUUAUAUUAACAGGCAAAAUAAAAGUCUUCAACGGAGUUAUAAUUUAUUAAUCUUAAUCACAUUAAAUUAAUUAUGUAAAUUAGCACGAUGAAAGUUUCAUAGUGAUAUAUCUCACCCAAAUCUACUCCCAGCAUGGCCUGUGAGCUUAGAAAUUGUAAACACCAUAAGAUCAUCAUCAGCUGGUGAAGGAAUAGCAGUGAAAUGUGGCCAAUAAUAGGCUCGAUCAUAAAUGGUUUUCACAUCAGAGCCUUUGAGAACUUCCUUGUUCAAGUUUCCAUCUGGAUUGUUUGGUGAAGUCACAAACUCAAUAAAUCUGAAGCUGCUAUUUGUGUUGUUUUUCCACAAGGAUGUGUCUCCUUCAUAACUAAAAUCCCUAGAAUUAAACAAUUGCUUUUGGCCUCUAUAGAGCUGUUUCAAAAAGUUUAACAUAAUUUAUGUCAUCUAUCUAGCUAUCUAAUUUCAUAAGCAUAUAAAUAAAUGUAUACACAACCAAAAGUAUUAGAAAAAACUAGUUAUAGUUUCUUAGGUGUUGCUAUUAUGUGAUUUAUAAGGUAAAUGCUUGUAUUAAGAGGUUAACAUAAAUGAUCGAGAUAAACAAAACUAUAAUUUUACUUUUAAAACAACACCAAAACUGCACUUAAAGAAUUGCAUCUAAGUUUUGUUUAAAGAAGUAUUUUAUUGAAGCUUACCUAGGUGACUCUUGGCGAAGAGAGAAAGAAGGAAAAAGAGAUAAUAGUUAACAAAAAUUAAUAAACUAACAAGUAAUAUUAGUUUAUUAAAAAAAAUUAAAGCUCACCGAGUAAUAUGGUGCUGUGGCUACCACUUUUGCUGGGGACAUUGAAGAGUUGAGAGACAAGGCAUAAACAGCAGCAUUGAGAAGUUGAGUUGAGCCACUUCCAAAUACGAUGUACUUUCCUUCGGUGAUUAAUUGCAUUCCCAACGAUGGCAUGAAGUUUUUUUAUGUACUCAACCAAUAGUUGUGAGAUGUAUGAUUUAUCACUAUAAGAAUAACCCAUUCUAUGCCAUCCUGACACUAAAAUGGCACUACUUGCUGCAUGUCGCAUCCAAAAUGGCUCCAUAAAAUAUGGAUCCCAUUGCAAUUAAUUAAUAAACAUAUUCAAUAAAUUUUAUCAGUAAAAAAAACGAUACAUAUAUAUAUAUAUAUAUAUAUAUAUAUAUAUAUAUAUAUAUAUAUAUAUAUAUUUGUACCUAUAUCUAUCUCAAGUGAGAACUAAAAACUAUCCUCUCUAGAUACCUAGAUUCCUUUAGGACAUUAACUUCUCUUAACAUAUAUAUUUUUACAUAUAUACAUAUGAAUUAAAUUUUUGAUCACUUACUUAAAAGAUAAGAUUAUUUAAUAUUGGUGACCAAAAAUAAUAUUAAAUCGAGGUGAUCUAAAUGAUUUGUUGAUAAAGACUAUAUUUUGUUGAUUCUUUUUUUUUUAUGUAAUUUAAAAUUUUGCCGAAUAAGUUUAUACACUACAUUUUAAUAUUUAAUUUUAUUUAACUAAUUUAAGUAGUACGGGAUAGGUAGCAUUAAUAUUAUGUUAAUUAAUUAAUAAUCUCUAAUGUUAAACGUUUAAUGUAUAAAAUAGAUGCGGGUCAUUUAUCAUCCAAUGAUACUCAAAAUAUUAAGCUCUUUUAAGAUCUUUGACUUUCUAAUGAUGUAAGACAUUUACUUAAUUCCUGUAAUAUUAUAUCAACUUCACUAGAAGGUAAAAAAAUAAAUAAAUCAACAUGAUGUAAGACAUUUACUUAAUUCCUGUCACUUCCAUUAAACAAUAUUAUAUCAACUUCACUAGAAGGUAAAAAUAUAAAUAAAUCAACAUGAUGUAAGACAUUUACUUAAUUCCUGUCACUUCCAUUAAACAAUAUUAUAUCAACUUCACUAGAAGGUAAAAAUAUAAAUAAAUCAACAUGUCCAAAACUAUUGCAAUGACCGUGGUUGAAUUAGCAGUUAAUAGAUUAUUGAAUUUAUGAGAAAGCUAGGGUUACCCAUCAGCGUUGGCAGGACAAUCAGAUAAAAACUGGGAGCAGUCAGAUCCAGCAUGAAUUGCAUUCACAAAGAGACUCAUUCAUAUCUUUAAGAAUAAGACCAUCUAAGUAGGCUCUUCCAUGUCCUCAACAUGGUAUUGCUGCCACAGCCUCAGUUUCUUCUGCAGCUCUUGUGCUCCAAGUUGGCUCCCAUUCUCCCAUACAUACAAACGUGGUCAUUGAGGCGCGCACACAAUACAAUAAUGAAUUUAAAAUUCAUAGGACUUUGGAUUUGUUCUUUUGGCGAUUCUAGUCUUCGUUUCUUUGUGAAAUCUUAAAGCAAUUUCUUGGUUUGCACUUUGAGAUUUCUGAAAUGAAGUAGAUCUUGUUCAUGCAUUUUAGAUAGAGGUAAAAAUUUCAGCGUAAUAAGUUUUCAAAAGUAAGGACAAAUUAAGACCGAAUAUAAUGAACUUUAGGAGAAAAUUGUAUUCACAUUAAUAUUCGAAAAUUCUUUGUUAGGAAGAAGAUGCUCUCAUGGAAACCUAUUAUAGUGAUAGUUAUCAUUCUAGAAACUGUGGUGGUUAUUGUUAGUGAGAAUAAGGUUAUUAUAAUGGGAUUACAAUUAUUGUUAUUGUAGAUAUUUGAUAGGCUUUUAAACAUUAAGAAGUACUAAAUAAAAUAUAAAAAAUUUAGUCUUUAAGUUUGUUAUUUCCCCUCUUUCUCCUAAGACUGCCUUAGUCUUGAACUUAAAGAAUCAUCACUAAUAUUUUUUCCCAUUCUGCCUCAUUAAUAUAUAGAGGGAUUAAAUAUGUUUUUUUUAUUCUAAAAAUACACCAGAUUUACAUGUAGUCCUUUGAAUUUUUUCUUUGUAUUUAAUUUCUAAAAUUUUAGAAAUAUCAGAUUUUAGUUCUUUUCCUAACUCAAUUUCAUUAUGCAGUAAAAUGUGACUAUGUGAUCGAUCAUCUCAGUCAGCAAUUUUGAAGUUAUUUGAUAUGCCAUGUAAUUAAUUAAAAAUAAUGAAAAACAAAACAAAAUUAACUAAUUAAAUAAUUUAAAAAAAAGAAUUAGAAAAAAAAGUAAAAAAGUAAUAAAGAUAGAAGGUUAGAGAAGAUAUUUUUAAGAGUAGAUAGUACACCAAUGAAUAGUGAUGAACAAUUACAUAAGAAAACUUAUAUCAUAUUUUAAUAUAAAAUCUUACAACUUAAUUUUAUAGGUUUUCUUUAUUUAUAUGAUAUUUAAAUUUUUUUAUUUUUAUUUUAUGUGAGACUUUAUCUAUCUUCUAAGACUGAUUAGAUGGUUAGAGUAAGUGUUUGUUUCAUUUUCUACAAAAUUAAAAAAAGUUUGGAUAUUAAGUUUAAUUAACAAUCAUAUAUUCUACACGAUUAUUAAAAAAAAAAUCAUGUGAUUUAAUGGUCAUAUUUCACAAAAAAUUUGUAAUUGAUUUUUAUAUAAGAUACUAUUUUUUAAGUCUGAUUGUGUUAUAACUCACUAAAAAAACAAAUAAUAUUCAAAGUGAUUAAUUGAAAAGCUUUAAGCUGAGGAGAUAGAUACCUCUGCUGUGUGCUUUCUUCUGAACUCAAAACUGAAACAGUUAAAAUAGUGUUCGAACUAAGCAUGAGUUAAUAAUCUCUGUCAUCACCUUCACCGCAAGAGAUGAGUCCGUGGCUACAACCGAAGCUGAAUAAACAGUCAGAACAACGUGCAACGUAAUUAACAACAUUCGUUAGGAACUAAUUGGCUUACAGAAAACAGUGGUGUGGUCUGAUAUCGAGAAAUGUGCCCUGCACAGUCGAAGGAGGUUUAUUUGGUUUUGGGAAGGAAGAAAUUACUAGUACUUCUUAAUUUGUAGAGCUUCUAAAAAAGAGUUUUCAAAUUCAAGAAACUGAAAGUUUUGUAGUCGCUUUUUUCCUACGGAUAGUCUAAUCAAUUAGCUGGUAGCUGGUUUCAUUGGACAAUAUGGUGGCAGAUUCAAUUAGAUCGAUAUUGAAAAGAAAAAUUAUUUCAUCCAUUUAUUUUUUAUUUUUUAAAUUAAUCAUUCAAUUGAUUUUGUUUAUAAUUUUAAUCUAAUACGAUCCAAUUUGAUGUUGGAUUGAUUUUCUAAUUUAAUUGUAUUUUUAUUUUUUGAUAAAAUAUUAAAUAAAUGAUAAUAUAUAUAAUAGAUAUAAUAAAAAUUAAUUUAAAAUAUCAAAUAUUUUAUUUACAUCCUAUUGUAUAAUUAUAGACUUAAAUAUAUUUUUUAUCUCUCUAUUUUACUUAAUUUAUAAUAUUGGUCUAAUUGAGACAAUUCAUCCUCUUAUUUAAAAAAAUAUCUACAAUUAUAAUUCUUUAUUUUAAAAUAUAAAUAUUUAAUUCUCAUAUUUUAAAAAAUUUGUAGUUUUCUUCUCCUAAUUAAAAAAAUCUAUUGGUUUAAUAUUUAAUUUUUGCUAUGCCUUAUAUCAGCCUCAAAUCGAAGCAAACUAAGCUUUGAUCUCUCUCGCUUAAAACCGAUUCAACCCAACAAUGUCAUUCUCAUUGUCAAGAAGGUUCAGCUCUUUUCUUCCAAACCCCACUUUCCCUCUUUACUUUCACUCUCAGCCUCCAUCCAUUGACAAUGUUGUUGAUGAUGCUAUUUCCCAGUUCAAUGGCAUGCUCCUUAUGCAUCAUACCCCGCCCAUAGUCGAAUUUGGCGAGAUUUUAGGAUAUCUUGCAAAGAUGAAGCAUUAUUCCACUGCCAUUUCCCUUUCUAAACAAAUGGAAGUCAAAGGAAUUGAGCCAAAUCUUGUUACUUUGAACAUCCUUAUCAAUUGUUUCUGCCACUUGGGCCAAAUGUCCUUUUCUUUUUCUGUAUUGGGCAAAAUUCUAAAAUUAGGUUAUCAGCCGAAUACCAUAACCUUGACUACACUCAUGAAAGGUCUGUGUCUCAAGGGUGAGGUCCAGAAAUCAGUGCACUUUCAUGACAAGGUCGUAGCACAAGGAUUUCAGAUGAACCAGGUUAGUUAUGGGACCCUGCUCAAUGGACUAUGUAAGAUAGGAGAAACGAGAUGCGCCAUCAAGUUUCUGCGAAUGAUUGAAGACAGUUCAACUGGGCUUAAUGUGGUAAUGUACAACACCAUCAUUGAUGGUUUAUGCAAAGAUAAACUUGUAAAUGAGGCUUAUGAUUUUUAUUCUGAAAUGAAUGCUAGAGGAAUUUUUCCUAAUGUUAUCACUUACACUACUCUAAUAGGUGGUUUUUGCCUUGCGGGUCAGUUAACGGGAGCAUUCAGUUUAUUAAAUGAAAUGAUAUUGAAGAACAUCAACCCGAAUGUUUAUACCUAUGCUAUAUUGAUUGAUGCAUUAUGUAAAGAAGGAAAGGUGAAAGAAGCCAAAAAUUUAUUAGCUGUGAUGACGAAAGAAGGAGUAAAACCUAAUGUUGUUGCUUAUAACACUUUAAUGAAUGGGUAUUGUUUAGCUGGUGAAGUGCAGGGAGCAAAACAGAUGUUCCACGCUGUGCUCCAAAUGGGAGUAAAUCCUAAUGUUUGCAGUUACAGUAUAAUAAUUAAUGGAUUAUGUAAGAGUGAAAGGGUGGAUGAAGCCAUGAAUCUCCUAAGAGAAAUGUUACAUAAAUAUAUGGUUCCUGAUGCAGCGACAUAUAGUUCUCUUAUUGAUGGUUUGUGUAAAUCAGGGAGAAUUACUACUGCCUUGAGUCUUAUGAAGGAGAUGCACUACAGAGGUCAACCAGCUGAUGUAGUCACCUACACUUCCUUAUUAGAUGGUUUCUGCAAAAAUCAAAACCUUGACAAGGCAACUGCACUAUUCAUGAAAAUGAAGGAAUGGGGAAUUCAGCCAAACAAGUACACAUACACGGCACUUAUUGAUGGAUUAUGUAAAGGUGGAAGACUUAAGGAUGCACAAAAGCUUUUUCAAGAUCUCUUGGUUAAAGGCUGUUGUAUAGAUGUCUGCACAUAUAACGUCAUGAUCGGUGGGCUUUGUAAAGAGGGCAUGCUUGAUGAAGCAUUGGCCAUUAAGUCAAAAAUGGAAGACAAUGGUUGCAUCCCUAAUGUUGUAACUUUUGAAAUCAUUAUUCGUUCUCUUUUCAAGAAGGAUGAGAAUGACAAGGCCGAGAAACUUCUCCAUGAAAUGAUUGCUAAAGGCCUAUUACGUUUUAGGAAUUUUCAUGGUGAGCGAUCUCUAGAUACAAAUUAAGUUAUUGUGAAUUUUCAUGGUGAGCGACCAAUGUUUAUUGCAUUUGAUUGUUUCAUAGACUAUGCUAUGGACAUUUCAUUUGAUUAAAAAUCAUAUGCUGGUUAAUUUAUUUUGGUAUUGUAACAAUAACUUUCACUGAUUUUUUUAUUUAUUAUUUGUUUUAGUGUUGUCAUAACUCAUACCUACAUUUUUUCUUCCCCGUGUACUUUCUACCUGUCUCAGUCUACUUUUAAGGUUUUGUUCAGUCACUGUUAAUUCUUAGUGUUUCAGAUAACAAACCAAGCUGAAACAGACAUGUUAUUUGAAAUGCCUUAACUUUUAUAGUUGACUCCAUUUACUCCUGAUUAUAGAAAGUAUAACUGAAUUCUGUUUUUAUCUGUUAUUUUCCUGGUUUUUUUUGUAGAAAUAGAAGAUUUAAAACCGACAGCAUAUUUGUUUGCAUCAUCUGAGUAGUCUUAGAUUUUAAAGUUGCUGAUGUUUUCCUCCAGGUCAUUGCUUAUAAAUUAAUGGGAGCUUCUUGAAAGGACAGAACUUAUUUUUUGGUGUACUCAUUCCGGAUUGUGCGUUCCGGUGAGUAAUUUGUUGCUGCUGAUUUCCUGUACCUUUUAUGUUCUUACAAGGCCUUGCUGCUUCAAUGUUGUGAGUGACAAUUUUGCCGUGUGUCACCCAUUCCAACUGUCCUUUACUUGAGAAUAUAAUUGAAAUGUAUGAUUUUGAAUUGAUCCACCCAAUUAACUGAAAUCUAAUAUAACUUCGUUGUGCUUUGACUUCUAUUUGCACUUGACUGCAGUUGAACAAAUCUAUACUCACUCGCAUCCCAGGUGACUAGCAUAUUUAAUUUGAUUUUGAAACGUGAUUUCUUUUGAUCAUUUUACUAUGGACCGUCGAUGAAAUGUUUGGGGAAUUGGAAUUUGAAACUUGAAAGUUGGUGUUGACAUCCAAUGCUUAUAUAUCCCCAUAGUUCCAAGUGGAAUUUUAGUUUAAGUCACAGCUUAGUAUUGUUCACUUUGAAACAUUUGAUACAGAGCUUGUUGCUAUGCAUUAAGUUAGAAGAGCAUAAUUUGACAAUUAUAUAUUACAUAUAAUUAUUAUUUCUUUCUUUAUAUUUUUAUCAUUUUGUUCUAAACACAUUUUUAAAAUUACAUUCCAAAAUCUAAGAAAAUAGCUUUUUGCUGUCUGAUAUUUUGUUCACAAAACAUUAUCCUUAUGUUAUGUUGUGCUCUAAAAUGUACCCUACAUAAGCUGAAAAAAAAAUACUGAAUUAAGAGUACCUGCUAAAUUUUAAACAUUUCAGAUUGUUAUUUACCCAUUACUUUCUCAUUUCUAUGGAGUACGAUAUGAUAAAGUUUUGACUUUUAGGUUUAUUAUAGUAGCAGAACUACCUCAGGCACUGGAGGAGUGAUUGCACUAGUAGAAAUAUGAAGUACAAUACUGCCAAGUUUGAGCAUAACAAAUGAACCGCCAAGAUAUGAUCACAUUGGGACAAUGUCUUCUAUUUGGUGUUAUAUCCUCUUAGGAAUGUCACAUGCACCUUGGUUAGUGUUAUAAAUUAAUUCUGGAAAAAAGUGUCUUUAAAACAAAGAAAUGGAGCAAAAUCAGUUACGAUUAUGCAGAGAGAAACAAGAUAGCCUACACUAAAUUAGAAAGUAUUGCAAUAAUGUAAGAGCAGUGCUUGCUCAAGCCAAGGAUUAUUCCUAUGGCCCCAGAUAUAGCUUCCUUGGAGACUUAAAAGUUACAAUUGCUCUCGUUAUUAAUUUCUUGAAAAGAAAAUCUGACAUGAAAGCGAGCAUCAACAGGAAGAGGAUCCAAGUUGGAACAGGAGAGUGACUAUGGCUGCGAACAUGCAGAAUGUCGAUUUCGUUCAUGGGAGAGAAAUAGCACAACAAAAAGAGUUGCAGAAUCGGUCACAUGUGAAUCUUUAGUUGUUUAAUACGACCCAUUAGUUUAAAAUUUAAGAAGUUACUUUUAAUCUACAUCCUUUGUUUUAUCUCAAAUGAAUGACUCAUUAGAAACCAAAAGAUCCACAUGUGAUGUCUUUGUGUAUAUCUGUUUUAAUUAAUCAUGAUCCCAUUUUUUCUUACCCCGUGUAAGAAUUCCAAAUUUCCAACCAAUAAUAACUUAAAUAACUUUGAUAUAAAAAAGUCUCCCGAAAUACAUAAUUUCUUCCAAGGCCUAGUAGCGAGUGCAAUUGUAAGUCACCAAGAAACAGAUUGCAAGAACAGAGGUUUUUCUAAAAAUAUAUAAUUUGAUAAGGGUCCGAAGCAGUUCAGAUCCGAAGAGAAUCCUAAAACAGAGGUUUCCCCAACUUUGAAUUAGUUCACUUUAAGAUGCAUGAUAAAAAAACCUAGCUUUGAAUAAUUAACCUAAUGUUUGGAUCUGAAUUUCUUGUGUUCUUUCAGUAACGUGUAAUUCAUUUGAAACACAUUCAUAGGCAUUUUUUCAAACAACAUAUUGAAUUUCAGGCGUUAGCAGCACAAUCAGAUAAUAACUUGGAACAAUCAGAUUAACCAAAGUUUCAUCGAAGUACAUGUUUGGGACAGUUGAAAUCAGUAAUUGAACUAAACUGACAUCGAAUUGAAUUGGUAAAAAAUAACUAAAUUUUUUUCAAUAAUAAGUUUUGGGUUUUCUUGGGUUGCAAUUAGCACAAUCAGUAAUGUUGACCUUAUUACUAUCAUCACACUAGUGUACAGAAUGUGGUCAAGUAUGUUACAAGCCAUAUUGAUCCUCACAAUGUUAAUCCAAUUAACGCGUAUAAUUAAUAAUAUAAUGCGCUCUUGUUGGUAUUGCAGCUCUACCUCAUCUAGCGAAAUAUAUAAAGUGCAUCAACACUACAAAACUAAAUAAAGAUCUCAAUGCACAAUAAGAUAUAUAAUUCAUAUUCUUCUUAAAAGAAAACAUUCAAUAUGUAUUUCUCCAAAUAACAAUGAAACUCUCACUCUAAUUUUCAAGUCACUGUGUUUCUCUUUGUUUCACUAUUGCUAUGCUCACUUUCCGGGGACAAAGUUUGUAGCAUAGGCCCAGGCAUUAUUGUUUACUGGGUCAGCUAGGUGGUCAGCAAGAUUUUCCAAAGGUCCCUUUCCUGUCACAAUUGCCUGAACAAAGAAACCAAACAUGGAGAACAUGGCCAACCUACCAUUCUUGAGCUCUUUCACCUUCAACUCAGCAAAAGCCUCUGGGUCAUCAGCAAG
rnacentral:lncRNA from 1 species